GAGACCGGCGUACGGGUGCGUAACGCGUAUGUAACUUACCCUUAUCGCGGGGAUAGCCCGGGGAAACUCGGAUUAAUACCUGAUAACAUAUAGAUAGGCAUCUAUUUAUAUUAAAAGAUUUAUCGGAUAAGGAUAGACAUGCGUAGGAUUAGUUAGUUGGUAAGGUAAUGGCUUACCAAGACAAUGAUCCUUAGGGGGCCUGAGAGGGUGAUCCCCCACACUGGAACUGAGACACGGACCAG
rnacentral:rRNA from 1 species